rnacentral:rRNA from 1 species
AUUGAACGCUGGCGGCGUGCCUAACACAUGCAAGUCGAGCGGUAACAGGUGUAGCAAUACAUGCUGACGAGCGGCGGACGGGUGAGUAACGCUUGGGAAUCUGCCUAUUAGUGGGGGACAACCCGGGGAACUCGGGCUAAUACCGCAUACGCUCUACGGAGGAAAGCCGGGGACCGCAAGGCCUGGCGCUAAUAGAUGAGCCCAAGUCGGAUUAGCUAGUUGGUAGGGUAAGGCCUACCAAGGCGACGAUCCGUAACUGGUCUGAGAGGACGACCAGUCACACCGGAACUGAGACACGGUCCGGACUCCUACGGGAGGCAGCAGUGGGGAAUAUUGGACAAUGGGCGAAAGCCUGAUCCAGCGACGCCGCGUGGGUGAAGAAGGCCUGCGGGUUGUAAAGCCCUUUCAGUGGGGAAGAAAGCCUCGACCUAACACGUCGGGGUCUUGACGUAACCCAUAGAAGAAGCACCGGCUAACUCUGUGCCAGCCGCCGCAGU